rnacentral:rRNA from 1 species
UACGAAGGGGACUAGCGUUGUUCGGAAUCACUGGGCGUAAAGCGCACGUAGGCGGAUGUGUCAGUCAGGGGUGAAAUCCCGGGGCUCAACCUCGGAACUGCCUUUGAUACAGCACGUCUUGAGUCCGAUAGAGGUGGGUGGAAUUCCUAGUGUAGAGGUGAAAUUCGUAGAUAUUAGGAAGAACACCGGUGGCGAAGGCGGCCCACUGGAUCGGUACUGACGCUGAGGUGCGAAAGCGUGGGGAGCAAACAGG